CGUAGGGACCAAGCGUUGUUCGGAUUUACUGGGCGUAAAGGGCGCGUAGGCGGCGUGACAAGUCACUUGUGAAAUCUCCGGGCUUAACCCGGAACUGCCAAGUGAUACUGUCGUGCUAGAGUGCGGAAGGGGCAAUCGGAAUUCUCGGUGUAGCGGUGAAAUGCGUAGAUAUCGAGAGGAACACCUGAGGUGAAGACGGGUUGCUGGGCCGACACUGACGCUGAGUGCGCGAAAGCCAGGGGAGCAAACGGG
rnacentral:rRNA from 1 species